UCUUGUGCAGGGAACUUGUAAGCGCUGUCUUGAAAGCAACCAUUAAGAUGGAAAUGAACCAAACAACGUUUGCAUUUGUGAUCAUUUGCAUUUGCAUUUUCUUAGUGUCCCACCCAGCAUCCUUAUUGCUUAUUUUUAAAGAGUUACCUCCAAGUUGCCCUCUCAUCUCAAAGUCAAAACGAGUCUCUUUGCGAAACUAUUCACGUGGAAAUAUAGUUCCUGUCAAACUGUUUUGUACGAGGUUUCGUCUCAGGGGGCGAAGAAAUACAAACACGAGCGGAAGUUUGGGAGAACGAGAAAAGUCGUGGUAUUUGUAAUUCUAUAACUCGAUAGAAACACGAAAAGAAAUUACUUUUUAUUUCUUUAAAUUAAAGGAAACACUUCGUGAAAAGGAAAAAAAUUAGUUGGUUUGUCUCUUUACCAAAAUACGCCAACAGUUCGUGCUAGUUCUGUCUUUGUAUCGAGUUUUAGUAUAAAUCUAUUAGCGUUCUAUCACGAAUACCGUUCCCUGAUUACAUGUGGCUACGCUACUCACUAUCUAUUCUGUUGAACUUAGUGAGUGGCCCAGCAGUGUACGCUUGUUAACAAAAUGGCGGCCGCUUCUUUGCGUGUUCGAAGUGUCUCUGAAGAGGAUUUAUGUAAAAUGUUGGAUUAAAAACACUACUAGUACAUUUAUGCUAAAGCAAUAAGAUUAUUCGCUUUCGAUUUCUGUGCGUAAUAGCUGACUCGGACUGCGCAAUCGUCAAUUAUCACGCGAUAGAAAUCGAAAGGGAAUAGUCUAAAUGUGAAAUAGAAAUGCAGGUCUGAGCAUGCGAUUUCCCUUACACGCUGUUUUCUAAACUGUUAUUUCUCAUUUUUCUUUCGCUCUAUAUUUUCUUUGCUCAUGCAAUGUAAAUAAAGAAACGGUUCAAAUAAAAUAAAAGAAAGCUGGUAUGAUAUAUGGCGAGGAAUUAAGAGGCCCCCCUUUAGCUGAUCGUAUGUCUUUCCGCGCGCGUGGUGAUAUUAUUUAUAUACACUUUAUUUUGAAAUAUUGCAUCCCAAAAGUCAAACUUACAAAGUUUCAGUCUUCCUACCUCAACACGCCUACAGCUGAACAUCUCUUAUUUGCUCGGUUCAAAUUUCCAUGGCUUCCGUAUGUCCUAGUUAAAGUUUAAUUAUUCAUUAUCUUGUUUCAACAGCCUGCCUCCGUAAAAGAUCAUGAUCAUAAAACCUAAUAUCUGAAUGUAAAUAUGUCAUGCGUUAGGAGCUUCCUUUUUAAAAAGUUGUUUGAGACAUUGAUGGCCCUUAACAACUUAGUGAUUUGUUGCAGUGAACACACUGUUUUAAUUAAACUAGUACCUUUCCACGACUGCUUUCUAUGACGAAAAUAGUUUAUUACUACACGAUAAAUUAAGAGAAGGAGUCUAACUUGAACUCAGAGCGAUGCGAUAACAGUUAAACAAAAUUGAAUGGCCAAAGCCCAGGUGUCGUUUUUGUUGUUCUUGUAGGCGUCUUCCAAUAAAAUUUGAUCUCGUUCGUCCUACAUCUAAUGUGAAUUAAGUAUACAGUAGUUAACAAUAGAACCAGGUCAGCUUAAAAUUUGUUUAAGGUGGGAUCGCUGGUACAGCUUCAACGGCGUCAUCCGCCUUCUUCCUCAUCACGUCAAACUUGUAAUUCUGGUGAAUAACUUUUCAGGUAACUUCCAAUCCCUUUAAAUCGUGAAGAAUCAUUACUUGCUACUCGUUAUCUCCUAUAACUGAGGCAUCAUUGCAUACCAAUCAACUGUCAGGUAGUCCUUGCCUCAUAAGACCGAACACACCCUCACUCGUCGGAUAUACAAACGGCCUACUUGUUUAUCUUUGGUAUAAUUAUAAUUCAAUAUACAAAUGCCUCUUCGCUAUUGAAAGAAGAGGAGUAGUACGUUUUUCAUUUACACUUAGCUCCGUUUUUUAAACAACCUUUCCGACCCACGUCACAUAUCCGGGCCUCUCUCUCUUUAUAGUUUAGACGCAGUCGUUCUCACCUCAACAAAAUUCAGUCAAAAGCACGAACGAAUGAAAAAAAUAAAACAAAAAAAAAAAAGGGAACGAGCAAACUAAGAACCAGAAAAUAAAAAUGAUAAUGAGCAGUAAGCAACGAGUUUGUCGAAAGCAUCAUCAUUAAUUAUUAAUUCACCUGUUAUUCGCUUGCUGACAGAACUGAAUAACUUAACCCGAAGAAGAAUAUAUUUCCUGAUGGCAUGCAAGUUACUAACUAACAAUUCAGUCUAUUCUUUGGCCUUACUAUGUCCGGCUUAGGUCUGAAAAACGAAACGAUAGUUUUCCAAAGCUCGGACGUCUACAGGCAAGCCUGCGUCGCAGACAAUAUAAACCGCCGGUUCUGAUAGGAUUUUGUGACUCGUCCGGCUGCAUCGCAGGCUCGGACAUCUCUAGUAAGUCAUGAUUCACCCAGUUCUACAAGAGUCAUUUUGCAAGAGUCAUUAUGAUUGAGGUACUACAAAGUGAAGUUGUAAGAAUUGUGUAUCUAUUUAUAGCUUAAAUUAUGUUAUUGAAUACAACUGUAGAGCACGCUUGUUUUUGUCUCGCAAACAAGAAGCGUUUUGUUCCGCCGACCAGGCUUGGAGGCGGCACAUGAGCAGGUGUUGUGUCAAGAGCAUGUGCGUAAGAAUUCACCUGUCGCGAUCUAUAUUCACUAAGAACCACGCCAGUGAAAUAGGUACUUUUAGUGGCUAGUUAAGAUCCUCGUGGACAAGUGCAGCCGAAGUUAUCAACAUACUCCCGCCAGGUUCUAAGACGUUCCCAUUUAAAGGGUUCAUGGCUUACCUACUUGCCAUCGCUGCAGCUUCUGCAAGAUCGCGUGGCAGCAGAUUUUAUAGAAACGCUUUAGAGCACACUGAUGUGGUAGACAACCACUCUACCGAUCAAGGGGAAGCAGAAACCAUGUAGGACAUAGGCAAACGUUCAGCAAAGCUUUACUAAGAAGAAGAUACGGCAAUCUCUUGCGAUCUAUCCUCAGACAUAGCGUUGAAAGGACAAAACUGUGAAAAGCGCCCGCACCCAUAUACGAAGGGUGACAAGACGUACACGUACUAUCAAUGUGAGCCAGGUUGCUGUUGUCAGGGCCCCAAAACAAUUAGGGUCACGCACACCCUGACCGUGUGUAAGAAAUGUCUUUCCACGUGCCUGAGUGGUUAGCAAGCAGUUCAGUCGGAGAAAAGGAAGUAAGACUCGGAAGUGAACUUGAUAUUUGCAACGGACAAGUUUAUAAAGAUAAAAACGAAUUGUAUAAACAACAAUAAGCUGUUACUAGCAUUAAGUGUCCUCAAUUUAGAAAAACGACAUUUAAUAAAGUUUAAAACUGUUUCAAUUUUGAUAAUGAGAACUGAUCAAUGUUACCUUAAUCAUAACGAAGUAAUGAUUCAUCGCUGAAUGCCUUUCCAUUACUAGGUUGUUUGAGUUAAAUAAACAUGCUAACCUU